rnacentral:rRNA from 1 species
UGGGGAAUAUUGCACAAUGGGGGAAACCCUGAUGCAGCGACGCCGCGUGAACGAAGAAGGUAUUCGUAUCGUAAAGUUCUGUCCUAUGGGAAGAUAAUGACAGUACCAUAGAAGAAAGCUCCGGCUAAAUACGUGCCAGCAGCCGCGGUAAUACGUAUGGAGCGAGCGUUGUCCGGAAUUAUUUGGCGUAAAGGGUACGCAGGCGGUUUAAUAAGUCGAAUGUUAAAGAUCGGGGCUCAACCCCGCAAAGCAUUGGAAACUGAUAAACUUGAGUAGUGGAGAGGAAAGUGGAAUUCCUAGUGUAGUGGUGAAAUACGUAGAUAUUAGGAGGAAUACCAGUAGCGAAGGCGACUUUCUGGACACAAACUGACGCUGAGGUACGAAAGCGUGGGGAGCAAACAGG